CUCUCUGUGAGUUGGUGUUGCCAUCUAGUGAGCAAAUGUUUAACUGCAAAUAUCUUCUCAGUAUCCAGUACGAUGUGAAGUACAGACCUACAGUAACAUGGGAACAUAAACAUUUAUUCAAACAAUCAUCAGAUCCAGAAAGCUUUAUAAAAAUAGCAAUACAACAUUUAAAAGUUUGUCGUUAUCAGUAGCUCAAUGACUCCAUCACAGACAGGAGAUCUUGCUGGUACAGGUUAAAAUGGACAUUUCAUCUGAUAAAGGGGAUAGAACAUAUGUCUUAUAGGAUCUCUAUGAUAAAGACCAUAUGGCCUUUGAAUGUUCAUAAUUAUAGGCCUACCCAAACAUGAACCGUGAACUGACAAAAUCAGAUAGGGAGCACUUGUCUUGGUGUUGGCAUUGCACACAUUGGGCAUAGAGGGCCUCCAUAGGCCCAUAACCACAAGAGCAUAGAAUACAAACAACACUGAUAAUAGUGCACAUUCCAAGUCAUUGUGGGUAAAAUAAGUUAUGAUAUAGCAACUCAAUCUGCCAUUGACUGUGUAGCAUUGGCAUACAGUGAAAGUCACUGGGGUCACUGGAGUGUGUCACUGGGGUCACUGGGGUUCAAACAAACAAAGCCUGGUCCCAGAUACAGAUCUGGGAUCAGGCUAACCAAAAAAGGCUUCACAGUAGGAAUCAAAACCCGUCUGUCCACUUGCAAUAGCAAGAAUCCCCUUAACCUGUUAGGGCUAGGGGGCAGUAUUUGCACGGCUGGAUAAAAAAAUGUACCCGAUUUAAUCUGGUUACUAAUCCUACCCAGUAACCAGAAUAUGCAUAUACUUAUUAUAUAUGGAUAGAAAACACCCUAAAGUUUCUAAAACUGUUUGAAUGGUGUCUGUGAGUAUAACAGAACUCAUUUGGCAGGCAAAACCCUGAGACAUUUUCUGACAGGAAGUGGAUACCUGAUGUGUUGUAUUACCUUUAAACCUAUGCCAUUGAAAAACACUGGGGCUGAGGAAUAUUUUGGCACUUCCUAUUGCUUCCACUAGAUGUCACCAGCCUUUACAAAGUGUUUUGAGUCUUCUGGAGGGAGAUCUGACCGAACAAGAGCCAUGGAACGAUGAUGGCGCAUUAGACACCUGGCGCGAGUUCAUGUUGGGUACCCUCGUUCCAAUACGUUAUAAAAGAGAAUGCAUUCGUCCACCUUGAAUAUUAUUCAUGUUCUGGUUAAAAAAGGCC
rnacentral:lncRNA from 1 species